UCGAACCAGCGACCUUUCAGUUUGUGGGACGAUGCCCAACCAGCUGAGUCACAGUGGUCUGGGCAGACCUCCUUUCCUUUAUCCAUUCACCAGUUUGUGGGCAUUGGGUGUGUUUCUACCUUUUGAGUAUUAUAAACACUGCCAUGCACAUUAUGUGCAAGUUUUUAUAUGAACACGUUUCUAGUUCUCUUGGGUAGAUACCUAGGAGUGAAAUAGCUUGGUCGUAAGGUGAUUUGUGUUUAACUUUUUGAGGAACCGCCAAAACGUUUUCCACAGUUGCCCCUCCAUUGUAUAUCCCCACAAAUGUUAUAUGAAGGUUCCAAUUUUUCUAUGUCCUGACCCACAUUUAUUUUUUUUAUUAUAGCCAUCCCAGUAGGUAUGCAGUGGUAUCCCAGCUUUCUGUUUUUGAAUUUGAAAAUGUUACCAUCAUUUACAUAUUAAAGGCUUUUACUAUCCAUAGCAGGAUUUGAACCCAGGUCUGUGAGGCCCUAGGGCCUAUACUUAUCCCCAGCCCUCUCUCCUCACGGGAGGUCAGCUUCAGAUCCCGGUCAAGUGUGAAGGCAAAGGGCAGGGAGCUGAAGGGCUGGCACCUUCUCGCCGGCUGGCUCACCCUUAGCACUUUGGUGGCCUGUCCCCAGCAUGCCUGGGAGGGGAGGACAAAAAGAUACAUUUUCCUUAGAGCUCCACCCAGGGAAGCAGCAGCUCACCGAGGACCUCAGCUGAGGUGAGAGUCACCUUGGAACAGCGACACGGAUGUCCUGGGUCCCCUGGAACUGCUCCCUACCCGGCCUGCAACAGGCACCGGCCCAAGGUCUUCGGGGCCGCCAUGUCGGGGUGGAGACGGGCCCAGUUGGCCAGGGGUCCAGACCAGCGGGCUACGGGGCUAGAAACAGGGUUGGGCUCUGAGGGGUCUGCUUCCCCCAUCUGUGGCUCCCAAGUGAGGAGAUGCAUUUGAAGAAUUCCGAAAAAAUGUUUGGAUUGCAAACUCAAACUCAACAUGGUGUUAUUCUGCUUUAUCUUUUUAUUAACAAUCAUUUGUUUCGCUUACUCUGUGCCCAACACUGUUUUAAAUACUUUAUAAAUACAGGGUGGAGAAAAGUGGGCUUACAGUUCCACUGUGACAUUCUUUUGAGUUAUAAAGAUAUUGUAAUAAUCAUAAACCUGUGUGUCUUUUUCCAUACAAACAACUGUGAACCUACUUUUGCCCACCACUGUACAUUUACUUAAAUCUCAGAUGAGUAGGUUAUUUCCAUUCUCAAAUAAGAAAAGUAAGGUACAAAAAA